UCCCUAGUGGCUCAGAUGGUAAACAGUUGCCUGCAAUGCAGGAGACACAGGUUCAAUCCCUGACUGGGGAA
rnacentral:tRNA from 1 species